AUCUUUGCACUUGGGGCAACGACGCAACUAGUGAGGUAAUAACCGAGACACGGCAGUUGCUGGUGGAAAACUAUUUCCAAACCCCCUCUUAGGCCUGGGUUUAGCCCUGGCCAUUGUGAAUUUCUGGAAGGACUCCCUCUAACCCCAGGGUAAAAAGCCCUACAAUUUUCAGUC